rnacentral:rRNA from 1 species
CAGCCGCCGCGGUAAUACAGAGGGUGCAAGCGUUAAUCGGAAUUACUGGGCGUAAAGCGCGCGUAGGUGGUUUGUUAAGUUGGAUGUGAAAGCCCCGGGCUCAACCUGGGAACUGCAUCCAAAACUGGCAAGCUAGAGUACGGUAGAGGGUGGUGGAAUUUCCUGUGUAGCGGUGAAAUGCGUAGACAUAGGAAGGAACACCAGUGGCGAAGGCGACCACCUGGACUGAUACUGACACUGAGGUGCGAAAGCGUGGGGAGCAAACAGGAUUAGAUACCCCUGUAGUCCCUGUCUCUUAUAC